UUAAAUCUCUGCGCUUGAAUCCUACAGGACAUUCUUGGGAUGCUGCUGACUGCUCUUAUUGGGUCAGUAGUUGUGCUCCAGAACCCCCUAAUGGGCUGCUUGCCUGAGGAUAGAACACCAUUCUGUCUGCUGAAGGUUUUCUUUGGCCUUCCUCUUAGGGUUCACAUUUGCCCACUUACGGUGGAAGAAAUCCAGCCAAUUGCAGCCAUUGCCCACCCGUGCUCAGCUGUUCAAUGGAUAGAAACGAGGGCUGAAGGAGGGGGCACAAUUAUCCUGGGUAGAAUUUUCUUCUAAAAGGGGCUCAGCUACUUCCUGCAAGCUCUGACCACACAGUUCCUGACAAUUCCUAGAGCUACCCAGAAGUGAUAAGUGUAGCUCUAGCAAUUGCCAAAAACUCUAUGGGUAUCUUACAGUAGAGUUUCUGAUCAUUACUAGAGCUACCAAUGCACUUCUGGUUAGUUCUAGGAAUCACCCGAAACUAUGGUCAUAACAUGUAAGCAUCUGAGGCUUUAUUUUUCUUUCCAAUUUUUUCCCCUGGACCUCUACCCCACACCCACAUUUGCUGGCAACUCUAUCCCUUUCCUCUCCCAUUUGCAGAACACUUGGCACACAGUUAUUUCGAGAAACACCAUUGGGGACUGAUUUGAGCAACGUGCAAGUCAGCAUAAUGUGGUUCAAGGAACUUCUGUUGUCCUGUAUCUGCUGCAGACCUAAAAGUCCCUGGUCCACAAAAGGGGGGAAACCCUGUCCUUUAAAGGGAAUAUAUAAUGUGACAGAGUGGAAUUAGAGCCUGUCAAGAAAUUCAGUCCUGCCUCUGGCUUAAACAGGGAGAAUAUUCUCAGCUCCACAACUCAUUGGCAAUUUUUAAAAAAUCUGGACAAGAUGAUGGUGCACUCUGCCGUUCUAGUUGAAAAAAGGGCAUAGAACUGCUCUCCACACAGCUGACUCCCAUCUGGCAUGUUGUCAUGAGCCAGUCCCUAGAUGAUGAGGACUCUGACAUAGAGCCGAAGACACUGUGGAUCCAGAACUGACUCCUCGUGAGGAGAUGCAGGCAAGCUCUUUCCAGCAAGCUGAGGCAAAGCCAGCUCCAAGCCCUUCCCUGCCAGCCAAGGCAGAGUCUGAUGCCAUGCAGCUGGGAGAGCCAUCAGGGAACUCAGAUGAGCACAGUAACAUGCCAGCUGUACAAAGGAGACAGACAGACACUUCUAAAAGGAGAAGUGCCCAUGUUGCUGCUCAGUAUGACAGAAGGCUCUGCGAGCUACUCAUCUGCAUAAGAAGGAGACUAAGUCUCUGCAGGAGCCUGGCCCCGCUAGCAGGGGCGCCCUGCCUGGGUACAACAAGUGUACUUCCUGGUAAGCUCCAUGUACCUGGUCUUCCUCUGAACUCCAGCUCUCAGCCUGCCUGCCUGACCUCUUGCCUGUGCCUUGACUCUGGAGCACCUGACUACACCUUUGCUUACUGCCUGCCUUGACACUGGACUGUCCAACCAGGCCUUAGCCAACACCUGCUGGCAGCACACGUAAUGCACCAGAACUGUACUCCCUUCAGCAAAGCAGUAGAAUAGCAAACCAAAUCCAACAGAUGUGAUUGAUGCUAAAUGCUGUGCUCAGACAUACUACUGUGAUCAUUGAUGUUUAUAGUGCCUAAUUACGAUGUUAUGAUCAUUGUUGUUUAUCUAUGCCAUUAUUGAUAUAAUGAUAUAAUGAUUACUGAUGUUUAUUCAUGUUGUUAUGAUUAUUGCUUUCAUGGUGAUAUUAUUAUUGUUUUGCUGUUUAUGAUGUUGUUUGCCACCCUGAGCCCUAGGGGGGAGGGCGGGAUAUAAAUCGAAUAAAACAAACCAACAUACCGAAAGUCUCUGAGGACAAUGGCACCACUUCGCACAUGUCUUGCAAUGAGACUCUGCGCAGAAAAGCACCUGAACUCUCAACAAACGGGUCCAAGUGGCCAAUGGGCAAGACACACCAGCAUGCUGAUAACACAAUUUAACGGCUUCAACAACCCAACGAGACAGAGUCCGAGAGGAGGCCCCACGCAACAGAGAUUCAUAUCUUUAGAAAAAGAACAUGACUCAUAUAAACAGAGCAAUAAGGUCCUGUGUACAUCCACUGUGGAAGGUUUGGAUGUAAAACUUCCCAUCUGCAGCAAGUUCUAGGACACCUACCCUCGGUUCCGGCUAAUCUGCUCGUUUCCACAGACUCCAAGGGAGGCAGCCCGUACCGGAGGUGGAACUUCUUCUGUUCAGCCCAAGCUCUAGUUGGACCCUAGAAAUUCAGCAAAUGAGAAAGAAAACCCAACUCUGCUAGUACAAGAUGACACAGACCUUCCACCAGAAGAAUUUCCCUUUAUUUAGUUUAUUAAUAGUAUACAGAAUGGAGGCACUUAUGUCAAACAGUGUGUGUGUGUGUGGGGGGCUUUUCUCAUCUGAAGGCGAGGGAGAGAAGGUACUUCUGCCCACCCCCAUGGUAAGAACAGGAAGCAAAUCAUAGCAAAUGCAAUUCAGAGCCCAAGUCUGGCCACCCGAGCAACUGCCAGCUUUCUGGAGAAGUGGUGAAAGAUGAGGAAGGGCUCAGAGAGGCCUCUACAGGAAGGGAACAAGGGUCAGGCGGAGGGCAGACAAUACGGAGUUCAAGUAGAAAAGGCACAGUUAGUCUCAACCUGUGGAAGGCCUCAGCCCACCUAGGGCAUCGAGCGAGUGCCUGCGACUCUUUCCAGUCGAGCAGGAAGAGAAGAGGCCACUGAAAGGAAACAUUUUAAGGCAGGUGGUAUGGGUGUGUUGCUGUUCCUGACAUCUCUCCUGAGAUAUCCCUGACAGGGGGGCUGGGACUUCAUUGAUUUCUCUUUUUUAAAAAAACCUAGCAUUUAUACAUGUACUAAUACAGUCUGUCUUUAUGAAGAAAUAUAUACAACUGUAGCCCAGACAGAGCAGAGCGGUGAGCGAGUCCUACUGAGAAGGGUUUUUGUGUGGCUCGCAAAUGCUCCAGGCUCUAGCGCUAGAAAGGAAGCUCAAACUCUCCUGCUGGGCCCUGCCUGGGACCUCUCUCUCUUGGCCUUGGGGAGCCUCCCACCGCCUUUGAGGGAGGACUCGGCCGCUAAGCGUGACCCAAGGGUCUUCCUUGAGGGGUGAAGCCCCCCCUCCAGUUUGGUAGGGAAAGACUUCCUGCUGUCCACCCUCA